GGUUCUUUCCCUUGCUCGAUGCAAAAACUGCCUUCCCCACAUGGCCUUGCGCCUAGGCGCAUGAGCCCUCCAUAGCUUUAGCGCAUCUAUUAUGCUGCCUUGCUGAGGAUAAAAAGAAGAGCAACUGGAGGAACUAUAAGGCAAACGUUGCUGGAGCUGCCGGGGCAAAGUUGCAUGGGUGGGCCCUGGCAAUGGGAUAUCCAUCCCAUUCAGGGAGCAUAAAGGAAGACCGGGAAUCUCCUAGUGGCUGCUGCAACA